rnacentral:rRNA from 1 species
UCAAGAAACUUCCACAAUGGGCGAAAGCCUGAUGGAGCGACGUCGCGUGAUGGACGAAGUGCUUCGGCACGUAAACAUCUUUUAUGUGGGAUGAAAUUAUUGACAGUACCACAUGAAUAAGGGGCUCCUAACUCUGUGCCAGCAGGAGCGGUAAUACAGAGGCCCCAAGCGUUAUCCGGAAUCACUGGGCGUAAAGGGUGUCGAGGCGGUUGUAUUAGUCGUUCGUAAAAUCUACGAGCUUAACUUGUAGGCGGCGAACGAAACGGUACGACUUGAGGUUUGGAGAGGUGCGUGGAACUCACGGUGUAGGGGUGAAAUCCGUUGAUAUCGUGGGGAACACCAAAGGCGAAGGCAGCGCACUGGCCAAAAUCUGACGCUCACACACGAAAGCUAGGGUAGCGAAGAGGAUUAGAUACCCUCGUAGUCCUGAGCGGGCUGGCAAGGCGCAU